AACGAACGCUGGCGGCAUGCCUAACACAUGCAAGUCGAACGAGACCUUCGGGUCUAGUGGCGCACGGGUGCGUAACGCGUGGGAACCUGCCCUUAGGUUCGGAAUAACUCCCCGAAAGGGGUGCUAAUACCGGAUAAUGUCUUCGGACCAAAGAUUUAUCGCCUUUGGAUGGGCCCGCGUUGGAUUAGCUAGUUGGUAGGGUAAAAGCCUACCAAGGCGACGAUCCAUAGCUGGUCGGAGAGGAUGAUCAGCCACACUGGGACUGAGACACGGCCCAGACUCCUACGGGAGGCAGCAGUGGGGAAUAUUGGACAAUGGGCGAAAGCCUGAUCCAGCCAUGCCGCGUGAGUGAUGAAGGCCUUAGGGUUGUAAAGCUCUUUUACCCGGGAUGAUAAUGACAGUACCGGGAGAAUAAGCUCCGGCUAACUCCGUG
rnacentral:rRNA from 1 species